rnacentral:rRNA from 1 species
GACAGAGGAUGCAAGCGUUAUCCGGAAUGAUUGGGCGUAAAGCGUCUGUAGGUGGCUUUUUAAGUCCGCCGUCAAAUCCCAGGGCUCAACCCUGGACAGGCGGUGGAAACUACCAAGCUGGAGUACGGUAGGGGCAGAGGGAAUUUCCGGUGGAGCGGUGAAAUGCGUAGAGAUCGGAAAGAACACCAACGGUGAAAACAGCUCGCUGGGGUUGUGCUGACGCUGAGACACGAAAGCCAGGGGAGCGAACGGG